rnacentral:piRNA from 1 species
UGUUUACCUGGUGUCACUGGGUAGGCCA